rnacentral:rRNA from 2 species
UGGGGAAUAUUGCGCAAUGGGGGAAACCCUGACGCAGCAACGCCGCGUGAAGGAUGAAGGUUUUCGGAUUGUAAACUUCUUUGAUGAGGGACGAACACAAUGACGGUACCUCAAAAACAAGCCACGGCUAACUACGUGCCAGCAGCCGCGGUAAUACGUAGGUGGCGAGCGUUGUCCGGAAUUACUGGGUGUAAAGGGCGUGUAGGCGGGGCGGCAAGUCAGAUGUGAAAUACCGUGGCUUAACUGCGGGGGUGCAUCUGAAACUGCUGCUCUUGAGUGUCGGAGAGGAAAGCGGAAUUCCUAGUGUAGCGGUGAAAUGCGUAGAUAUUAGGAGGAACACCAGUGGCGAAGGCGGCUUUCUGGACGACAACUGACGCUGAGGCGCGAAAGCGUGGGGAUCGAACAGG